rnacentral:rRNA from 1 species
GCAACGAGCGCAACCCUGCAUUCAGUUGCCAUCGGGUAAUGCCGGGCACUCUGGAAGGACUGCCAUCGACAAGAUGGAGGAAGGUGGGGAUGACGUCAAGUCAUCAUGGCCCUUAUGUCCAGGGCGACACACGUGCUACAAUGGCCGGCACAACGGGAAGCGAGUUCGCGAGGACGAGCGGAUCCCUUAAAGCCGGUCGCAGUUCGGAUUGAAGUCUGCAACUCGACUUCAUGAAGCUGGAAUCGCUAGUAAUCGUGGAUCAGCCAAGCCGCGGUGAAUACGUUCCCGGGCCUU